rnacentral:rRNA from 1 species
AGGAGAGUUUGAUCCUGGCUCAGGAUGAACGCUGGCGGCGUGCCUAACACAUGCAAGUCGAACGAGGCUUGGCUGGAAACCCUUCGGGGCGGAAGGCUUUGCCGAGUGGCGGACGGGUGAGUAACGCGUGGGUAACCUGCCCUGUACCGGGGGACAACAGUUGGAAACGACUGCUAAUACCGCAUAAGCGCACGGGACCGCAUGGUUUUGUGUGAAAAACUCCGGUGGUACAGGAUGGACCCGCGUCUGAUUAGCUGGUUGGUGGGGUAACGGCCUACCAAGGCGACGAUCAGUAGCCGACCUGAGAGGGUGACCGGCCACAUUGGGACUGAGACACGGCCCAAACUCCUACGGGAGGCAGCAGUGGGGGAUAUUGCACAAUGGGGGAAACCCUGAUGCAGCAACGCCGCGUGAGUGAAGAAGUAUUUCGGUAUGUAAAGCUCUAUCAGCAGGGAAGAAAAUGACGGUACCUGACUAAGAAGCCCCGGCUAACUACGUGCCAGCAGCCGCGGUAAUACGUAGGGGGCAAGCGUUAUCCGGAUUUACUGGGUGUAAAGGGAGCGCAGGCGGCGGAGCAAGUCAGAAGUGAAAACCCCGGGCUUAACCCUGGGAUUGCUUUUGAAACUGCUUGGCUAGAGUGCUGGAGGGGUAAGCGGAAUUCCUAGUGUAGCGGUGAAAUGCGUAGAUAUUAGGAAGAACACCGGUGGCGAAGGCGGCUUACUGGACAGUAACUGACGCUCAGGCUCGAAAGCGUGGGGAGCAAACAGGAUUAGAUACCCUGGUAGUCCCCU